AUUGAACGCUGGCGGCAGGCUUAACACAUGCAAGUCGAGCGGAGAUGAGGUGCUUGCACCUUAUCUUAGCGGCGGACGGGUGAGUAAUGCUUAGGAAUCUGCCUAUUAGUGGGGGACAACAUUCCGAAAGGAAUGCUAAUACCGCAUACGUCCUACGGGAGAAAGCAGGGGAUCUUCGGACCUUGCGUUAAUAGAUGAGCCUAAGUCGGAUUAGCUAGUUGGUGGGGUAAAGGCCUACCAAGGCGACGAUCUGUAGCGGGUCUGAGAGGAUGAUCCGCCACACUGGGACUGAGACACGGCCCAGACUCCUACGGGAGGCAGCAGUGGGGAAUAUUGGACAAUGGGGGGAACCCUGAUCCAGCCAUGCCGCGUGUGUGAAGAAGGCCUUAUGGUUGUAAAGCACUUUAAGCGAGGAGGAGGCUACUGAGACUAAUACUCUUGGAUAGUGGACGUUACUCGCAGAAUAAGCACCGGCUAACUCUGUGCCAGCAGCCGCCGUAACCA
rnacentral:rRNA from 1 species